rnacentral:rRNA from 1 species
AACGAACGCUGGCGGCAUGCCUAACACAUGCAAGUCGAACGAAGGCUUCGGCCUUAGUGGUGCACGGGUGCGUAACGCGUGGGAAUCUGCCCUUAGGUUCGGAAUAACAGUUAGAAAUGACUGCUAAUACCGGAUGAUGACGUAAGUCCAAAGAUUUAUCGCCUGAGGAUGAGCCCGCGUAGGAUUAGCUAGUUGGUGUGGUAAAGGCGCACCAAGGCGACGAUCCUUAGCUGGUCUGAGAGGAUGAUCAGCCACACUGGGACUGAGACACGGCCCAGACUCCUACGGGAGGCAGCAGUGGGGAAUAGUGGACAGUGGGCGCAAGCCUGAUCCAGCAAUGCCGCGUGAGUGAUGAAGGCAUUAGAGUUGUAAAGCUCUUUUACCCGUGAUGAUAAUGACGGUAGCGGGAGAAUAAGCCCCGGCUAACUCCGUG